GACGAACGCUGGCGGCGUGCUUAACACAUGCAAGUCGAACGAAGAGCGAUGGAAGCUUGCUUCUAUCAAUCUUAGUGGCGAACGGGUGAGUAACGCGUAAUCAACCUGCCCUUCAGAGGGGGACAACAGUUGGAAACGACUGCUAAUACCGCAUACGAUCUAAUCUCGGCAUCGAGGAUAGAUGAAAGGUGGCCUCUACAUGUAAGCUAUCACUGAAGGAGGGGAUUGCGUCUGAUUAGCUAGUUGGAGGGGUAACGGCCCACCAAGGCGAUGAUCAGUAGCCGGUCUUAGAGGAUGAACGGCCACAUUGGGACUGAGACACGGCCCAGACUCCUACGGGAGGCAGCAGUGGGGAAUCUUCCGCAAUGGACGAAAGUCUGACGGAGCAACGCCGCGUGAGUGAUGACGGCCUUCGGGUUGUAAAGCUCUGUUAAUCGGGACGAAAGGCCUUCUUGCGAAUAGUGAGAAGGAUUGACGGUACCGGAAUAGAAAGCCACGGCUAACUACGUG
rnacentral:rRNA from 1 species